UACGGAGGGUGCAAGCGUUAUCCGGAUUCACUGGGUUUAAAGGGUGCGUAGGUGGGCAAGUAAGUCAGUGGUGAAAUCUCCGGGCUUAACCCGGAAACUGCCAUUGAUACUAUUUGUCUUGAAUACUGUGGAGGACAGCGGAAUAUGUCAUGUAGCGGUGAAAUGCUUAGAUAUGACAUAGAACACCAAUUGCGAAGGCAGCUGGCUACACAAAUAUUGACACUGAGGCACGAAAGCGUGGGGAUCAAACAGG
rnacentral:rRNA from 1 species